rnacentral:misc_RNA from 1 species
UGAUCAUGGUUACUGCUUGCCUGAAAGUUUUGAAGAUGUCACUUUUGAUUGGCUGUAUUGGCCACAAGCUCGUCAGCCAUUUAGCUCUGAAACCAUUGAGUACAUAAAAUCUCUUGAUGCCGAAGAAGACAUUGCCUUGUUGAAGUUUUAUGGGUGGGACAUGCCUUUGGAGAGUGCCCGCACACUCCGCAUCUCUACUAUGCUUUUGAAAAAAGGUGUAGAGAGGGGCCUCACACCAUUUACCAUAGGGAACAUCAUGUGCCGGGAAACCUUAAACAAAGAAUCUGUGAUUGAGGAGAUUGUUCAAGAAGCCCUGGACUCCGUACUCCCUGACUCAAGUGAAGAUGCAUUCCUUGAGACCGUCUCACGUGUUAUGGAUCGUUGCCUUGAUGAGAUUGCCUAUUGAUAAUUCACUGAAGAAUUGGUAUAUAGGUGUACAUAGGAGAGUAUGCAAACACCUUAUGUCUGCAUGCUCAACUUCAAGAUAAUUUCCUGUUUUUCAAUUCAUUUUCGCAGUUAACUGGAAAUGACCCUAGCUAGGUUGUGACCAAGUUCUCUCAAAAUACUGUAAAGUUUGUUGCUCAUCUUUUCAUGCUGG